AGAUGCAAUCAUAUACCAGCACUAAAUCACCGAAUCCCAUCAGAACUUUGAAGUUAAGCGUGCUUGGGCGAGAGUAGUACUAGGAUGGGUGACCUCCUCGGAAGUCCUGGUGUUGCAUUCC
rfam:Triticum urartu cultivar G1812 contig1160092, whole genome shotgun sequence.